rnacentral:rRNA from 1 species
UUCAGCUCGUGUCGUGAGAUGUUGGGUUAAGUCCCGCAACGAGCGCAACCCUCAUCCUUAGUUACCAUCAGGUAAUGCUGGGGACUUUAAGGAAACUGCCAGUGAUAAACUGGAGGAAGGUGGGGAUGAUGUCAAGUCAUCAUGGCCCUUAUGGAGUGGGCUACACACGUGCUACAAUGGUGGCUACAAUGGGCUGCAAAGUA